rnacentral:rRNA from 1 species
AGCGCGUACACACCGCCCGUCACUCUCCCCGAGCCAUAGUACAUACAAUACAUAAAAAAUUUUUCUCGGUAAAGGGGAGGCAAGUCGUAACAUGGUAAGUG